GACGAACCGAGCGAACGUUGUUCGGAAUCACUGGGCCUAAAGGGCGCGUAGGCGGGGUCAUAAGUCUGUGGUGAAAUCCUCCGGCUCAACCGGAGAACUGCCUCGGAUACUGUGGCUCUCGAGGGUGGUAGGGGUAUGCGGAACUAUCGGUGGAGCGGUGAAAUGCGUUGAUAUCGAUAGGAACUCCGGUGGCGAAGGCGGCAUACUGGACCACUUCUGACGCUGAGGCGCGAAAGCCAGGGGAGCAAACGGG
rnacentral:rRNA from 1 species